CCUACGGGAGGCAGCAGUGAGGAAUAUUGGUCAAUGGGCUUACGCCUGAACCAGCCAAGUCGCGUGAGGGAAGACUGCCCUAUGUGUUGUAAACCUCUUUUGUCAGGGAGCAACGCCUGCUACGUGUAGCCGGACUGACAUUACCUAAAGAAAAACCAUCGGCAAAAUCCGUGCCAGCGGCCGCGUUAUUACGGAGGAUGCGAGGGUUAUCCGGAUUUAUUGGGUUUAAAGGGUGAGUAGGCGGAAUGCCAAGUCAGCGGUAAAAGCGCGGGGCUAAACCUCGUUCCGCCGUUGAAACUGGCGUUCUUGAGUGGGCGAGAAGUAUGCGGAAUGCGUGGUGUAGCGGUGAAAUGCAUAGAUAUCACGCAGAACUCCGAUUGCGAAGGCAGCAUACCGGCGCCCAACUGACGCUGAAGCACGAAAGCGUGGGUAUCGAACAGGAGUAGAUACCCUAGUAGUC
rnacentral:rRNA from 1 species